AAAACAGAGAGAUUGUUAUCUAACAAAUAUCCAUCCUGAACCAAAAGAGACAAGUGUGGUACCUGCCACAGGGCAUUGUGCGGGACACCAGGAAUAGCAGAAUCAUAGAAUCACAGAAUGGUUUGAGUUGGAAAGGACUUCAAAGCCCACCCAUCCCCAACCCCUGCCAUGGUCUGGCUGCCCCCCACCAGCUCAGGCUGCCCAGGGCCCCAUCCAACUCAGCCCUGAGCGCCUCCAGGGAUGGGGCACCCACAGCUUCUCUGAGCAGCUGUGUCAGGGCCUCACCACCCUCUGAGUAAAGAAUUUUUUCCUAACAUCUAACGUAAAUUUCACCUCUUUUAGUGUAAAGCCAUUCCCCCUUGUCCUGUCAUUAUCAGACCAUGUGAAAAGUCAGUCCCCCUUCUGUUUAUAAGCUCCCUCAAGUACUGAAUGGCCACAAUGAGGUCUCCCUGAAGCCUUCUCUUCUGUGGACUGAACAAGCCCAACAGCUUCAACCUUUUUUCAUAAAAGAUACGCACCAGCCCACUGAAUAGCUGCACCCACCCUUCUCACAGUCUUUAUGUAAGUCAAAAAUUCAGAUUAGUUAGGAAAAUGUUUUCGUCCUUUGAUGUCAUGAUUGAUCACUACAUUUACUAGCAUACACCAGAUAGUUUUCUAGAAGCUGGGCUGUGGCACCUUCCAGGAAAGCUGGAGUUGGAAACUUCAAGCUGUGCCCAGAAGAGUCCUCAGCACUGUGGGUUUCUCACACAUGAGGCUGAUGUCCACCCAUGAACAUGAAUUUCUGCACACUUUCCUGCUGGUCCUUCUGGAGGCGGGUGAUGGGAGCUGUGGGGCUUGCACUGGGCUGCCCCAUGCACAAUCUGCGUACAGAGAAGCUGGGUCUGGUGCAGCCAUUUCCCACCACUUGUGUUCCCUGCCAGCAGCAGAAGUGGUGAUGCCCAGAGCCUAUUCAGCACAAUCCGGAGAUCUCCAAGCAGAAUGGACUGUCUUGAAGAGGGGCACAAGAUGUAUGAUGGGGAAGAGCCCGAACCCCACACACCAACAGCCCAUCCGUGGCUCAGCACUGAUGCCAUCCCUGCGUGCUGGAAGAAGGCUACUUUACUUGAGUGCAUGGUUUGAGGACUCCCCUCCCAGGCAGCAGGUGCUCAGAGGGCUCAGCAUCCCAUGCUGCUGCAGCCUCAGCUCCAAGGUCUGGGUGUGACCAUUGUAGCAGGGAACCUUUUGCAUCCACGCAACACCAGGAAGACAUUUGGUGCUCAUUAGGCAUGAAUAAUGGUGCUUCCCUUAUCAAAGUCCGCAUUUCUCUGGUCAACACUAAUCCCUUCCCACAUUCCUUCCCUCCAGCUCCAACCGCCAAGGUUCACUUUGCAUAGCAGCAUGCACUGCACCAUUGCAUGUGGGCAGAAAUGUAUAUCCCAUGAUCACUCAUGCAAAAGUCCCAAUUGAAAUCUGUCUAAAUUAGAUUGCAUCUAGCAGCCUUUGAUGUGUUAUAUAUGUCAUAUACAGGAUAAAUGUUACAUGGACACGUAGCUAGUUAGUGAUCCCACACUGCUCGCACCAAAGCACUCCGAGAAGGAGCCUGACUGCUGGACUCCGGCUGGAGCACUGCACACAGUGACCUGAUUCAGGUCUGUGAAUACAUCAGCUGUAUCUGCUUGAUUUGGAAAGCCAGGAACAGCUUUUCUACACAUGCUGGAGCUGGAAGUGGGAACCCAGAGCUGCACAGCUCUGCAUCUGCCUGCAUCAGCGAUUCUUUCUCUCCUGCACACACAUGCAUUUUUAUCCCAGCCCAUCUUGCCUCUUCCUUGAUUCAAGAAAUUGAACAUUUAGCAUUUUGGAUUUGGUCCCUUUGAAGGUUGCUUUGAAGUUUGGGCAGAUGUGAAUUUGGGAAUCUAGCUCAGAUCGAUCUCUGGUCUCACUUCUGAUACCAACAGGUAAUAAAAAGGAAUGC
ensembl:lncRNA